rnacentral:rRNA from 1 species
UCAUGGCUCAGGAUGAACGCUAGCUACAGGCUUAACACAUGCAAGUCGAGGGGCGAGCAUUGGAGUAGCAAUACUCAGAUGGCGACCGGCGCACGGGUGAGUAACACGUAUCCAACCUGCCGCUUACUCGGGGAUAGCCUUUCGAAAGAAAGAUUAAUACCCGAUGGUAUAAAGAGUUCGCAUGUUCUCUUUAUUAAAGAAUUUUUGGUAAGCGAUGGGGAUGCGUCCAUUAGAUAGUUGGCGGGGUAACGGCCCACCAAGUCUACGAUGGAUAGGGGUUCUGAGAGGAAGGUCCCCCACAUUGGAACUGAGACACGGUCCAAACUCCUACGGGAGGCAGCAGUGAGGAAUAUUGGUCAAUGGACGAGAGUCUGAACCAGCCAAAAGUAGCGUGAAGGAUGACUGCCCUAUGGGUUGUAAACUUCUUUUAUAAGGGAAUAAAGUGAGGGACGUGUCCCUUUUUGUAUGUACCUUAUGAAUAAGGAUCGGCUAACUCCGUGCCAGCCGCCGC